rnacentral:lncRNA from 1 species
AUCGCUCCUUCCAUUGGGGCCCGAAAGCCACAGGGUUAGAACGCCAGAUGAGACUUUUGAGUCUUUGGUGACCAACCCCAGCUUAGGACGGAAGAAGGAGGAGAGAGAUAGCAGCUGACAUGAUUGGGAACGGAAAAGAAUCAUGAAGACAUAACAAAUCACUCCCAGGCCUUGUCUAAUUGGACUCCUUUUAUGAACCCUGAUGAUGUGAGGGAUCAGAGAAGAAAUGUAUCAUCUCUCCAUAAUUCAAUGGGGGCAAGAUGCUUACAUGAGAUCCUGCUUGGCAACUCAGGUCUGAAGCAUACCACUGCUGUUGCUAGCAUCUGAAUUUGCUCCUUUGCCCAUAGUCUCCUUAACUGGAAAUAUCGCCAUAAAGCUAAAGCUAAGGUCCUCUUCUCUCUUCAUUUUGCAUCUGUGAUCCAAGAUUGGAGAGUGGAUGAUAAAAGCUGCCAGUUCAUAAAUGUCCCAUCAUGAUAGUGUUCCAGUUUGGAUCUGGGACAGCUUCUUGUUCCUAUGCACAGUUUCUCACCAAGUGCUAUAUGCUCUUCACCUGACCUGUUCCCCUUUUCCACAGAUUUCCUAUCUGUCUGCUUAUGCUAGAUGAAUAAGUGGCUGGCUUAUUGUGACUUUUUCUGGAUUUUUUCAUCAGGAUUCAGUCCGACACAUCC